rnacentral:pre_miRNA from 1 species
AGUGAGUGAUAUUCUAUUCCAUGAUCUAGAUUCAUGACUAGAAUGAGCACUCACGCC